rnacentral:rRNA from 1 species
GGAUGAACGCUAGCGGGAGGCCUAACACAUGCAAGCCGAGCGGGAUUUAUUGGUUAGCUUGCUAACCAAUGAUGAGAGCGGCGUACGGGUGCGGAACACGUGUGYAACCUGCCUUUAUCAGGGGGAUAGCCUUUCGAAAGGAAGAUUAAUACCCCAUAAUAUAUUGAUUGGCAUCARUUGAUAUUGAAAGCUACGGCGGAUAAAGAUGGGCACGCGCAAGAUUAGAUAGUUGGUGAGGUAACGGCUCACCAAGUCGACGAUCUUUAGGGGGCCUGAGAGGGUGAUCCCCCACACUGGUACUGAGACACGGACCAGACUCCUACGGGAGGCAGCAGUGAGGAAUAUUGGACAAUGGGUGSAAGCCUGAUCCAGCCAUCCCGCGUGAAGGACUAAGGACCUAUGGUUUGUAAACUUCUUUUAUACAGGGAUAAACCUACCCUCGUGAGGGUAGCUGAAGGUACUGUAUGAAUAAGCACCGGCUAACUCCGU